UGGGGGAUAUUGCACAAUGGGGGGAACCCUGAUGCAGCGACGCCGCGUGGGUGAAGAAGCGCCUCGGCGCGUAAAGCCCUGUCAGCAGGGAAGAAAAUGACGGUACCUGAAGAAGAAGCCCCGGCUAACUACAUGCC
rnacentral:rRNA from 1 species